UGGGGAAUAUUGCACAAUGGGCGCAAGCCUGAUGCAGCCAUGCCGCUUGUAUGAAGAAGGCCUUCGGGUUGUAAAGUACUUUCAGCGGGGAGGAAGGGAGUAAAGUUAAUACCUUUGCUCAUUGACGCUACCGACAGAAGAAGCACCGGCUAACUCCGUGCCAGCAGCCGCGGUAAUACGGAGGGUGCAAGCGUUAAUCGGAAUUACUGGGCGUAAAGCGCACGCAGGCGGUUGAUUGAGUCAGAUGUGAAAUCCCCGGGCUUAACCCGGGAAUUGCAUCUGAUACUGGUCAGCUAGAGGCUUGUAGAGGGGGGUAGAAUUCCAUGUGUAGCGGUGAAAUGCGUAGAGAUGUGGAGGAAUACCGGUGGCGAAGGCGGCCCCCUGGACAAAGACUGACGCUCAGGUGCGAAAGCGUGGGGAGCAAACAGG
rnacentral:rRNA from 1 species